rnacentral:SRP_RNA from 1 species
CCGUGCUAAGCGGGGAGCUAGCGGUGCCCUGAACCUUCAAUCCGCUACAGAAGGGCUGAAAGCCGCACGAGGUUCGUGCGAUGGGGCGCAGUCACCGUACAAGUGGCGUUGAUACCAAGGUCUCGUGCAACGGGUCACCGUGAACCGUGUCAGGGUGGGAACACAGCAGCACUAAGCGGACAGGCGCGUGUGCCACGAGGUGGCUUUGGGGGAGUUAACUGUCGGAAGGACGGUUCGGUCGCGCGUAUCGAAUGCGGAUGCACG